CUCUGGUUCUCGUCUCUGCCCUGCCGGAGACUGGGACAUCCUUUUCUCUCCCUGGGUCUGUGUCCCCGUCGCUACAUCCCAGCCUGGAGGGCAUGGCCCAGCGGUUGCAUAGGUCCCUCGGUUUCUGCAGAGCCCGGGAGUCACCCUAUUUUGGUAAAGGUGAGCUCUGGCCAGGCUUGCUUUGCCUCGGGAGCAGACUUUUCUCCAGGCUCCUCGCCUGUCUCCCGGGGUUUGCGUCCCCCGGGCUGGGUCUGGGGAGGCCCUCCCGGGUGAUGUGCUGGGGUCUCGGGGACUGGCCUCCCCCGGCCCCUUCCAGGCCUGGCGGAGGCCAAGGGCAGGCCGCGGGAUCGGGCAGCCGCUCUCACCUAGCCGUUCCGCUCCAUCCGCCGCCUGCGCCCGGGCUCUGUCCUGCUGGUAAACAACCCUGGUCUCCCGGGCAACGCCGCAGGGUGGGGGGCCACGUGCUUCCGGCGUGACCGGAACCGGCCUGGGUCGGGUGGGGUCGGGUGGGGUCGGGUGGGGGCCGCUGGGCCAGGAGGGCGGAGGCCGUGAACUCCAGGUGAAUUGCUCCUCCAUGGGUCGUGAAAGAAGAUCAUGUCAGUGGUGGUGUUUCUGCUCGUCUCAGAAGGGAAGUCUGUGACCCGUGGGAGUUGCUGGGGAGGGCCUGGUCUGGGCCAGGCCUCUUCUUUGGGUUGCCCCCUCACACACUCUGGUCAUCCAGGAAGCCUCUGUGGCCCUCGGAAUGUGUAAAAGAUGGUGGUUUUAGGAGCUGCUGGUUUUGCAACUGAGUGCUGACGGCUUAUUUCUUGUUAAUGAUUCUGUCAAAAGUGUCUUAGCGAUGCUCUUCAGCCCUUCAUCACCCACCCAAAAAAGAUUAAAGUGGAUUCUUCAUCAGCUAUUUUAAAAUCACCUAAGAAUUAUACAAUCCUUUGGAG
rnacentral:lncRNA from 1 species